rnacentral:rRNA from 1 species
GAUGAACGCUGGCGGCGUGCCUAAUACAUGCAAGUCGAGCGAAUGGAUUAAGAGCUUGCUCUUAUGAAGUUAGCGGCGGACGGGUGAGUAACACGUGGGUAACCUGCCCAUAAGACUGGGAUAACUCCGGGAAACCGGGGCUAAUACCGGAUAACAUUUUGAACCGCAUGGUUCGAAAUUGAAAGGCGGCUUCGGCUGUCACUUAUGGAUGAACCCGCGGCGCAUUAGCUAGUUGGUGAGGUAACGGCCCACCAAGGCAACGAGGCGUAGCCGACCUGAGAGGGUGAUCGGCCACACUGGGACUGAGACACGGCCCAGACUCCUACGGGAGGCAGCAGUAGGGAAUCUUCCGCAAUGGACGAAAGUCCGACGGAGCAACGCCGCGUGAGUGAUGAAGGCUUUCGGGUCGUAAAACUCUGUUGUUAGGGAAGAACAAGUGCUAGUUGAAUAAGCUGGCACCUUGACGGUACCUAACCAGAAAGCCACGGCUAACUACGUGCCAGCAGCCGCUGUAA